rnacentral:rRNA from 1 species
GACGUCUAAUACUGGAUAUGAUCACUGGCCGCAUGGUCUGGUGGUGGAAAGAUUUUUUGGUUGGGGAUGGACUCGCGGCCUAUCAGCUUGUUGGUGAGGUAAUGGCUCACCAAGGCGACGACGGGUAGCCGGCCUGAGAGGGUGACCGGCCACACUGGGACUGAGACACGGCCCAGACUCCUACGGGAGGCAGCAGUGGGGAAUAUUGCACAAUGGGCGAAAGCCUGAUGCAGCAACGCCGCGUGAGGGAUGACGGCCUUCGGGUUGUAAACCUCUUUUAGUAGGGAAGAAGCGAGAGUGACGGUACCUGCAGAAAAAGCACCGGCUAACUACGUGCCAGCAGCCGCGGUAAUACGUAGGGUGCAAGCGUUGUCCGGAAUUAUUGGGCGUAAAGAGCUCGUAGGCGGUUUGUCGCGUCUGCUGUGAAAUCCCGAGGCUCAACCUCGGGCUUGCAGUGGGUACGGGCAGACUAGAGUGCGGUAGGGGAGAUUGGAAUUCCUGGUGUAGCGGUGGAAUGCGCAGAUAUCAGGAGGAACACCGAUGGCGAAGGCAGAUCUCUGGGCCGUAACUGACGCUGAGGAGCGAAAGCGUGGGGAGCGAACAGGAUUAGAUACCCUGGUAGUCCACGCCGUAAACGUUGGGCGCUAGAUGUAGGGACCUUUCCACGGUUUCUGUGUCGUAGCUAACGCAUCAAGCGCCCCGCCUGGGGAGUACGGCCGCAAGGCUAAAACUCAAAGGAAUUGACGGGGGCCCGCACAAGCGGCGGAGCAUGCGGAUUAAUUCGAUGCAACGCGAAGAACCUUACCAAGGCUUGACAUACACCGGAAACGGCCAGAGAUGGUCGCCCCCUUGUGGUCGGUGUACAGGUGGUGCAUGGUUGUCGUCAGCUCGUGUCGUGAGAUGUUGGGUUAAGUCCCGCAACGAGCGCAACCCUCGUUCUAUGUUGCCAGCGCGUUAUGGCGGGGACUCAUAGGAGACUGCCGGGGUCAACUCGGAGGAAGGUGGGGAUGACGUCAAAUCAUCAUGCCCCUUAUGUCUUGGGCUUCACGCAUGCUACAAUGGCCGGUACAAAGGGCUGCGAUACCGUAAGGUGGAGCGAAUCCCAAAAAGCCGGUCUCAGUUCGGAUUGAGGUCUGCAACUCGACCUCAUGAAGUCGGAGUCGCUAGUAAUCGCAG